CAGUAGCCGCGGUAAUACGUAGGGUGCAAGCGUUAAUCGGAAUUACUGGGCGUAAAGCGUGCGCAGGCGGUUUGUUAAGUCAGAUGUGAAAUCCCCGAGCUUAACUUGGGAACUGCAUUUGAAACUGGCAAGCUAGAGUCUUGUAGAGGGGGGUAGAAUUCCAGGUGUAGCGGUGAAAUGCGUAGAGAUCUGGAGGAAUACCGGUGGCGAAGGCGGCCCCCUGGACAAAGACUGACGCUCAGGUGCGAAAGCGUGGGGAGCAAACAGGAUUAGAUACCCGCGUAGUCCCUGUCUCUUAUAC
rnacentral:rRNA from 1 species